rnacentral:rRNA from 1 species
GACGAACGCUGGCGGCGUGCUUAACACAUGCAAGUCGAACGGAAAGGCCCUGCUUUUGUGGGGUGCUCGAGUGGCGAACGGGUGAGUAACACGUGAGUAACCUGCCCUUGACUUUGGGAUAACUUCAGGAAACUGGGGCUAAUACCGGAUAGGAUCUCCUGCUGCAUGGUGGGGGUUGGAAAGUUUCGGCGGUUGGGGAUGGACUCGCGGCUUAUCAGCUUGUUGGUGGGGUAGUGGCUUACCAAGGCUUUGACGGGUAGCCGGCCUGAGAGGGUGACCGGGCACAUUGGGACUGAGAUACGGCCCAGACUCCUACGGGAGGCAGCAGUGGGGAAUAUUGAACAAUGGGCGGAAGCGUGAUGCAGCAACGCCGCGUGCGGGAUGACGGCCUUCGGGUUGUAAACCGCUUUCGCCUGUGACGAAGCGCGAGUGACGGUAAUGGGUAAAGAAGCACCGGCUAACUACGUG